rnacentral:rRNA from 1 species
GACAGAGGAUGCAAGCGUUAUCCGGAAUGAUUGGGCGUAAAGCGUCUGUAGGUGGCUUUUUAAGUCUGCCGUCAAAUCCCAGGGCUUAACCCUGGACAGGCGGUGGAAACUACCAAGCUGGAGUACGGUAGGGGCAGGGGGAAUUUCCGGUGGAGCGGUGAAAUGCGUAGAGAUCGGGAAGAACACCAGCGGCGAAAGCACUCUGCUGGGCCGACACUGACACUGAGAGACGAAAGCUAGGGGAGCGAAUGGG